AUUGAACGCUGGCGGCAGGCCUAACACAUGCAAGUCGAGCGAGCGGCGGACGGGUGUGUAAUGUAUGGGGACUGCCCGUUAGAGGUGGAUAACUACUGGAAACAGUGUCUAAUACCGCACACUGUCGGAUAACCCAUAAGGGAUUAGCUCGUAGGUAAGGUAAUGGCUUACCUAGGCGACGAUCCCUAUCUGGUCUCAGAGGAUGAUCAGCCACACUGGAAAUGAGACACGGCCCAGACUCAUACGGAGGCAGCAGUGGGGAAUAUUGAACAAUGUGCGCAAGCCUGAUGCAGCCAUGCAGCGUGUAUGAAGAAGGCCCUAGGGUUGUAAAGUACUUUCAGUGGGGAGGCGUUACCGACAGAAGAAGCACCGGCUAACUCCGUGCCAGCAGCCGCGGUAAUUC
rnacentral:rRNA from 1 species